rnacentral:rRNA from 1 species
UGAGUAACCUGCCCUUAACUCUGGGAUAAGCCUGGGAAACUGGGUCUAAUACCGGAUAUGACUCCUCAUCGCAUGGUGGGGGGUGGAAAGCUUUAUUGUGGUUUUGGAUGGACUCGCGGCCUAUCAGCUUGUUGGUGAGGUAAUGGCUCACCAAGGCGACGACGGGUAGCCGGCUGAGAGGGUGACCGGCCAACNCGGUAGGACNGACGACGACCG